rnacentral:lncRNA from 1 species
GUUAACUAGAGCCUAUCCUACUGGGGUAGUAUCAAAGCCUAACAGACCAGGGGACAGAAAUAUCAAAUUCCGGUAACUUUUAGACUUCCAUGUGUGAGAAAGGAGCUACUCAACUCCAGCCCACUCUAGUCAUUCUGUCCCACCUAAAGAAAAGAAGAAGAAAAAGAGAAAGAAACAAGAAAUAUUUGAAAUGUAGAAUUCCGU